GUCAGUUUCCUGGGGUUGGACAUUGAAUAUCUUCUGGGCAAAGAGAACAACUAGUACAGCUUUCAACUCCACCUACUUUUUCGGUACAGCAUAUAAUAGAUUUAUCAUAUCUGCUUGUAUAAGAUUUUCCUUCAUGUAUACUUGUGACACAAUUUGCCACGAAGGGGGCAUUAAACAAAAAGAUCGCCUCAACUUUAUCAUAUUAUACUUCUAUAUUGUGUACAAAUUAAUGGAUGCACUGACCCUUCAAAAUCUCAGACUGGCUGCAUGACGGUGACAAUGCAAUGGGGAACACGUCUAUGAUAGGAUAUCAAAUAGUUGGUUAUUUAAAGAACCUAAAAUUUAAAACUGAAGAAGAUCAUUGUGAAGUUCUAAAUGAAAGCGUUCGAGCAGUAGCAGUCUAUUUGUUCGCCAACACAAGGCAUUUACCACCACCAUGCAUUCAAUGCUGAUUUUUAUGGUCAAGCUUCAUGCUUUGCUGGUUUAGUUGCCAUCCAAUUCCCUGCUCUUUGAUCAGGGGGCCGGUUUCUAGGGGCUCACCCACCGGGCCAACUCCGCCGACCCAGAUACAAACUACCAUGUUACUGGGUCAGUAAAUAGCGGAGAUGGAUGGUUUUCUGGAGAAUGGACCAUAGAACCGAGGGCCGAGAUAUGACCCAUGAGAAUUACAAUUUACUUGCACCUUGUUUGAUAUGCUUUUCUUUCUGUAGAUCCGGGACAUCUUCUUUUUGAAGCAAAUGAAUGCAAUUGGGGAGACAAAACACUGAAGUGACGCAAUGAUAUAAAAAUGACACUAAUAAAUGUUCUGGACCAAGAGAUAGAUAACUAUCAAACCCCUGGGAAGUAAUCUUGUGUGCUCAUCUCUUGAUUUGUGAUGAUGCAUUCGUUAGUUAACAACUUGUUCUCUUAUUUCUUCUUUAGUUUUUGUAUUAGUUUCAUGGCUUUGGAUCAUCUCGAUUAAAUUCUGAGGAGUUAGAAGUGUGUACACUCAAUUGGAUAACAAUAAACAAAUAGCAUCAAGAUGUGUUUUUUAAUCAGACGUUUGAUUUAGAGAAACAAGGCAGCGCAGUUGACGAAUCACCGUCUGGAAAAGAUGAGAGAGAGUGACGUCAAGAAGGCACAU